GAAUCUGAUAAAUCGAAAGGAAGAGGACAGGUUGAGGAUAUCAAAGAUGAUCCCAUGGAGUUCCUUGGGCGGAUUCUCCGAGUUUAUGGCUUCAAUUAAUUGCUUGCAAUCUGAAGCGACUGAGAUUUGGGGAAGACCCAGGGAGAGAGCAUCUUGGAGAGCGUGGAGGAUUGCCAUAGCCUCACCAAGGAGUGGGGAUCGGAUGAAGUUGCUAAUUGUCGAUCCCGUGCAGUGUUGUCCGAUAUGGUCAUUCCGGAACAGCCAUCCGCAACCAGCUUGUUUGGUCUCCUUGUUCCAAGCUGCAUCCACCUGGCACAACACGACGUCAUUAGCCAUCAGAUGUAGAGCUUCCCUGAUCAUCCUCGGUGUAGGGAUUUCUGGUAACUCUUGAGCUGCACACCACUCUCUUCCCAUCUUAAGGGCAUAGGUCAGGGUUUCCUUUGGGGAAUAUGAAACGUUUCUGAAGAUUUUGUGAUUCCGGGAUAUCCAGAGCGACCAUACUAUCCACGGAUACAAAGGUCCUAUGUUUAUCCCACAAGGGGGUAAACAGAUCUAGCCUUUUGCGGUUUCAAGUAGGGCUCUCAUAGAUUGCAGAGAGCUAGGCUCAAUGGUGUGGUGGAACAGUGCCAUACUCCAAACCUGUUGGGCAUAACGGCACUUGAUGAACAGGUGUUCACUGGUUUCCAUCUCUCCACAGAAAGGGCAUAGGGUUUCCAUCAUUAUGUUGUGUUUCCGUAAGUUCUCACUUGUAGGUGGGAGUGGCGGUAGUGUUUUGGUUUCUUCCUUGAUGCCUUCAUAGUACCCUGACUUGGUCGUAUAGACACCUUUUUUUGUUGGUAGCCAAACAAAGUCUUUUGUAGUUUGUGAGAUCAGGGUUGCCACUAUGUCAAACUGAGUCUCCUUUGUUGGUGGACCCAUGGGGGUUAGGGCGGUUUCCAGUGAUAACCACGGUUCAUUCCACAAGGAUGUUUGUUGUCUAUUACCAAUUACCCUUGAUAGUUGCUUCUCGAGUAGUGCUUUCCCUAUACAGAUGCCACGCCAACCAUGCGACGUGUUAGCUGGUGGUACACUGCGUAAGAAGGGGGUGGUAUGGCAGUAUCUGCCUUGGAGGAUCCUAGCCAUCAGACAUUUUGGUGCGGUUUUGCCAUGAUACCCAACACAUCUUUUGUUUUUCAGGGGAAGAGUCCCACCAGAAUCUUGUUAAAACCGACUGGAUAAGCUAAAAUAGAGAACCAGGAAUUUCGAAGACCAACUUCGUGCUUUUUGCCUGAUUCUAUCCACUAUGCUAGUAAAUAGAUCCUUCUUCUUUUUGCCAAAUAAUUCAGGGAGCCCCAAAGAAAGUGAUAACCGAUUUCUGUUUGUUAAUCAUCUGUUCUGAGGCCUCUUCGUACUUUCUGAGAAUUUCGAGUAGCUUGUCACAGUCUGUCUUAUUCGCCUUGCAGAAGAACAUGGUGUCAUCUGCAAAGAGGAGGUGGUUUAAACGCGGACUCUGCUUGCCCAGCUUGGUUCCUGACAUAGUCUCCUCGAUUUGAGCUCUUUUACACAGUCCAGACAGUACCUCGCUACAUAAAAUGAAGACGAAUGGUGAAAGUGGGUCUCCUUGCCUUAUACCACGUUGAGGCAGGACUGUGCCUUGGGCUGUUCCGUUUAUCAGGUAGUGUAGAGCCUCAUGUGUAAUCAAAACGUUGUUAGCGAUGGCUCUUUGGGGAACAAAAGCAGAUUGGUUUUCAGAGACCAGAGUAUUGAGAAACUUGCAGAAAAACCGUCAGGUCCCGGAGCUUUAUCAAUUUGGAUUGAGAAGCAGGCAUUACGAAUCUCCUUUUCUGUUGGAGCAGCUAUCAGGUUCGCAUUCAUCUCCUCAGUGACGCACGAUUGUAUAGCUUCCUCAAUGGUUCGUCGUCUCUCUCCUGGUAUGGUAGGGAAGAUGUUUUGGUAAUAG